UACGAAGGGGGCUAGCGUUGUUCGGAUUUACUGGGCGUAAAGCGCACGUAGGCGGAUCUUUAAGUCAGAGGUGAAAUCCCAAGGCUCAACCUUGGAACUGCCUUUGAUACUGGGGAUCUUGAGUCCGGGAGAGGUGAGUGGAACUGCGAGUGUAGAGGUGAAAUUCGUAGAUAUUCGCAAGAACACCAGUGGCGAAGGCGGCUCACUGGCCCGGUACUGACGCUGAGGUGCGAAAGCG
rnacentral:rRNA from 1 species